rnacentral:rRNA from 1 species
CAAGUAGAACGGUAACAGUCCUUCGGGAGCUGACGAGUUGCGAACGGGUGCGUAACGCGUAUGCAACCUACCUAUAACAGAGGGAUAGCCCAUAGAAAUGUGGAUUAAUACCUCAUAACAUCCUAAUCUGGCAUCAGAUAAGGAUUAAAACUCCGGUGGUUAUAGAUGGGCAUGCGUGACAUUAGCUAGUUGGUGAGGUAACUGCUCACCAAGGCAACGAUGUCUAGGGGUUCUGAGAGGAUGAUCCCCCACACUGGUACUGAGACACGGACCAGACUCCUACGGGAGGCAGCAGUGAGGAAUAUUGCGCAAUGGAGGAAACUCUGACGCAGCCAUGCCGCGUGCAGGAAGACUGCCCUAUGGGUUGUAAACUGCUUUUAUAUAGGAAGAACUACAGAUACGUGUAUUUGUUUGACGGUACUAUACGAAUAAGGACCGGCUAACUCCGUGCCAGCAGCCGCGGUAAUACGGAGGGUCCAAGCGUUAUCCGGAUUUAUUGGGUUUAAAGGGUCCGUAGGCGGGUCAUUAAGUCAGUGGUGAAAUCCUACAGCUCAACUGUAGAACUGCCAUUGAAACUGAUGACCUUGAAUAUAAUUGAAGUGGGCGGAAUGUGUCAUGUAGCGGUGAAAUGCUUAGAUACGCCACAGAACACCGAUUGCGAAGGCAGCUCACUAAGUUAUUAUUGACGCUGAGGGACGAAAGCGUGGGUAGCGAACAGGAUUAGAUACCCU